UGAACCCUGCGAGGUAGCCGAAGUCAU
rnacentral:piRNA from 1 species